rnacentral:tRNA from 7 species
AGGGGCAUAGCUCAGUUGGUAGAGCAGCGGUCUCCAAAACCGCGUGCCGUGAGUUCGAAUCUUACUGCCCCUGCCA